CUUGGAGCUGAGCUCAGGGGGCCUGGGUGGGUGGUUCCCUUCUGAGAGGACUUUUUCCCGAAGGCCUAACACAGGUGGUGAAACACAGACUUCUUGGCAUCCUGGAUUCCCCACCUUCCAGCCGUCAGGGGAAAUGACUUCUGGAACAAUGGUUGGUGUCAGCAACCUCACAGUGCCAAGGUGAAAGGACAGCCAAGAAGCUAUGUGAUUAUGACAGCAAUAACAACUGUUUGAUGGAAUCACUACAAGUAUCUGGCUUAUCACCACAGCUAUGAAUAUACUAAACUGAAGAGUCCUAUCUGUCAAGGUGAAACCUGUUACAAUCUCAUUUUAGUUAAAUAUUUGGUAUGAUCCAUUCUACAAGGGCUUGCACUGUGAUCAAUUGGGUGGUUA
rnacentral:lncRNA from 1 species